GAUAUAAUGAAAAACUUUUUCUCUGAAAGUGUGGUGAGGUACUGGAACAGGCUGGUGGAGUCACCAUCCUUGGAGGCGCUUAAGAACCAUGUCGAUGUGGCACUGGAGGACAUAGUGGGCAUGGUGGUGAUGGGUUGAUGGUUGUACUGCUUGAUCUUAGAGGUCUCUUCCAACCUUGAUAAUUUUAUGGCUCUGUCUAAUACUGAUGUUCUUGCUGAUAAACCUUCAAAGAACUCUGACAUAGUGGAACAGUUAACUGUUGCUUCCUCUCUGUGUCCCUGCAUGCUGGUUCUUGCCUCUAGUAUUGAUUCCGGACAAGUUGGUGUUUUUCCGCAUUGCAGAAAAAUGGCACAGUACCUUCUAGCACAUGUAAAUUUGUCCUCCUGCUUCUCAUCUGCUCUCAGCUCCUUUUAGUGCUCUUAUUUGGGACCCUUUCCACAUAAUAGCUUCUAGGCUGCAGCUUUUAUCUCUGAAACAGAUAUAGUUACUUCUAAAAAGUAGAUUUCUCUCCUCCUUCCCAAGUUGUAACUAAUGGCUUCCCUUCUAAAGACACAUGCUACCUAAGUGAAAACAGAAAACCCUAAAAAGCACAGCAGGAGAAAUUUUGCUCCCAUUGCAUCCAUGACAUUCAUCGGCACUAGCUGAACGUUUCUGGAGAUCAAACAGUGGAUGUGAGCACAGUGAGGUGAUGGGUGGUUUGUUUCAGCAGUGGUGACAGCAACAGCGGUCAUCUCCACUGCUGCAUGUUUUUAUGAGCACUGCAUGCAGGCUUUUGCUUAUAGAUGGUGAAAAUACACAGGUAAUAGUGGUGUCUGUGUUGAAAAAGUGUUUUGUAGCUAAGAAUUUACUCUAUCAAACUGUUAUUUUGCUUUUUGUAUCUGUUUUAAUUUCCAUGGAAACAAAUAAGCAGUUCUUUCAGGGCACCCUACAUAUGAUUGAAGUAGUGUAGAGCAGGAAAAAUAAAAAAAACCCUAAGAAUCAUGUCUCUCUGCCUUAACUCCAAAAAUAAACAAACAACUCAUUUGUCCCAUGUGAAUAGGAAUUAAAACUUCCCAUUGAAUCUUAAUUUUGAGCCUGUGUUUUCUUUCUGCUUCAUAAUCUCCACAAAACAAUCUGGCAGCAAUUCUUGAGCUUUUUAGCUCCACAUCCUGAGAAAGUUCAAACCACUUUCUUCACACCAUGUCUUUUUCCCUUUCCAAGCACUUGGGCAGGAAGAGGUGAGACCCACCAAACCACAGUUUGCCUUGCUCCCUGUGAGCAAUGCUGUUGAUAUAAUGACCUAGCUCAGACAGGCAGGGUAAAGGCUGAACUGUUUUAUUUUAGUAGCAAAAUUUAUUCUAAAUGGAUGAUUUCCAUCCUUUGUUUUUCUUAAGGGUUUCUGGUAGCUGCCACUGAUUUCCUACAGGAGGGCACUGCAGGAAGGAGGACAAGAGGUGGUACACAUGCGUGUAACUCAGUUGGACAACUGUGUUAUUUCUCUUAAGUUCUGCCCUUUACUGCUUGAGUGUCUGAAGAUUGUCAUGGAAGAGCAAAAUGUACAGCCUUGAGUUUUAGCUCACAAGAAACAAUUAGGACAGAAAGGAAAGGAAAGCCAUAGCGUGCUGCUGUUGUAGGUGGGAUGAGAACAUACAGCAGCAUUAACAGGGCAGACACUCGCUGGUUUUCUCUAUCUUCUGCGUAUCUUGCAUCUCCCAUGUUCUUGUGUCUUAACUUUUCUCACUACCCACAUACUCAUUCUUUUUUUUUUCCUUUCCAUCUCUCGUUUCUUUGCCCUUCUGGCUGUUCACUUUCCAUUGCCUUUGUACCCUGUCAUGCUCAAAGGUUAGACAUGGUGCAGGGGAAAGAACAGCACAUUCUGGCUCCAAAUUAAAUGUAUUUUGGCAGUACUACUGGGAUGCCUAUGGAUCUUUAUGGGCAGACUUCAUACAGCUGUGACUGUGAAUGGAAAGCAGUGCUUUGAACUGAAGAGAGGUGUAGAGGGUCAAAGGAAGGCCUCAUGCUGUGUUUUCAUCAAUAGACAAACAGGCUGUGAAGGUGUGUCCUGUAAACAUCAUUGCUUUUGUGAACUUAUCAGCUCACCCUUUAAACGAGGGCUUGGGGGGGAGGAAGUGGUCAGAAAAUAUUUUUGCAAUUAAAAACCCCCCAAAAUCAAGGGCGUCCUAUUUUUCCAGUGCCUAUUACUGUAAACAUGACAAUUUUAAAGGAAACAACUGCAGUCUGUACCUCCUGAUAUUUCACAGGCAGUUUUGAGUGACUCAAACUAAAAAGCGUGGCAUUGCUUAUUCAUUCCACUGUCAAUAUCUUAAAGUAUUCUACACUCAGUUUUGAGAUUAAUGUGAUAAGCUAUGACUCUCCCUGUUAUUUUUUCCAGUGUUUUUUUUCUCUUUUAAUUUAAAAUAUAUCCGUUUUCUCUUGUACUGAGAGCCAUUCAGAGGCUUUGAAGAUAAGGGAAUAUUUUGCACCAGCCCUCACUGAGGUUCAUUCUGGAAAAUAGUUAUAGAAAACCAAUUGAUUUUUCAGAAAGAUCAAAGUGCUUUCAGAGAUGUGCAAUAGUAUCACAUUCUUCUUUCGGUUACGUGAGUGCAGCUGUGCUGAAGACCUGGAGCAGCAGUGAUGUGGUGCAUGCACUGCAGCUACUCCCUUCCUUAUUCUCAUAGGAAGCUCCUGCAUUGAGAUAGGCAGAGGUAUUAGGUUUUCCAAAAGUUUCUUGACUUCUGACAUUAUCAUCCAUGACCUGGUGUCUGUAUUUCAGUAGCCCUCUGCUGCCAGCUGAGGCUGAGUGGUCACUCACCUCAGUGGUGCCAUCUGUUCUGCAUUAUGUGAUAUAAAAUACAGGGUGUUCUGCCUUGCCUGCCUGGAGAAAGUUCUUAGUUCAUAAUAGUUGGUGAUAACACCAAUCCUUAGGUUUUGUGCUUCUGUGUACCAAGCCAGAUUUUUCAGUUUUGUCCAGGAAGUUAUUCAACAAGUUAUUCUCAAAGGUAGUCAAUGUCUGAUCUGGGAGUUAUGACUCCAAAAAUAUCAGGCUGAUAUUAUCAAAGUGAUAUUUCAGGAAAGAAUGUCAAACUGAUGGAUUACAGGAAACUGCUGAGAGAGCUAGCAUUUUACUGGAUCUUAAGGAGAUGACAGAUCCAUGAGUCCCUGUUUUGUCAAAGUUACAGACAUGUAUAACUGUAGCUAAAAGUGGUAGCUGCUUUACUAUUAAUGUUUUUUUGUCAUCAGAUAUUGGUUUAGAUGAGAUGUAAACUUGCUUCUUAUUACUCAGAAAAUCAUCAGCUGCCUUCUUCCAGGAAUAGUGACUGACUGACAGUGGGACUGGCCCAUGUUGGCCCAUAGAGCCUGCUGAUAGUGAGUAAAGAGGAGCAGUGGUUGGAAGGAGAUCUGCCAGCAGCAAUGUAAUUAAACCAAAUAUUAAAUGGCAAGAGAGUGACAGGGUCCCUAGGUUAGCUCUGUAUUUGCUACAAUCCCUUUCUAAUCAGCCACAAAAAAGAGAAAGCAGAGUCUUACUUCUCUUGCUGAAAGAUGCUGUCUUACUCCAUAAGUCAAGUUGCAGAGACAUCUGUAGAUCCCAUGGUUGUGGGAGCAUGUACAUAACAUGUAUUAUUAAGUAGUCUCUCAGCUCCACGGAUAAAGGCCUGUGCUGACAAUUUAAGCUUUAGUCCUCCUGAUGUUUCAUUUUGUGUAGAGCUUGUGGUUGCUGGGUUUUAAACUGACAUUUUUAGUUCAAUGAGAUUUCUGGUUGGUUUGUCAUUUGUUUGUUUUGUGUUUUUGUUUUUUUUUUUUAAUGUGGGGGCAAGGCUAAGUUAAGUGUUAAUUCCUGGCAUAAAACAGCCACACUUUUCACUUUGUAGUAUUAUGUUACCUGGAUCUAUUGUUCAGCUCAUACAAAGAUGAGGACAGACAUUGGUGGAGGGACUUCUGUAUAGCUGUGCAAUAUGGUUUAGACUGGACUUCAGAGGUACUGAGCUGAUCCUAUGAGACUAUACUCUAAUUUGUCUGAGAUAAAUGAUUUUUUUUGAAGACUUUCACUGUGUCUGCUUGCAGGAACACCUACUGGACAUCUAGUGCCUCAUAAGCAAAUUGAUAACAUUGACCUGCUUGCAGGAACCAUUGUAGUAGGUCUUCCAGUUUGAGGCUAAAGUUCAAAAAUAUGAAGCUCAAAGCAGGUUGUGUCAGUUUUUGGUUACGUCGCCUGUCCAUUUGUUACUUACACAAAAAUACUUGCAUGGAAUUUGCUUACUGUAUUACUGCCAUACUGCCAAAAUAGAAAGUUUUGAAAACUGAUCUAAUGCAAGAGAGGUAAAAAUAAAAAUAAUAAAAAAAGAUAAUGCUUUUUAACUCCUGAGAUUCAUAUGCAGGGUGGGCUUCUGUUUUAAAAAGGAUCUAAAUUCAAACAUUUGCUCAAGUUACGGACCCCAAGGAGCACAAGACUUUUAUAGCAAUGAUACAACCUUUUGAUGAACAGUGUAGAAAUCUUUAGGAGUUUUGUUUAAAAAUCUGUGGGGAAAAAUGUGCAUGUGUGUGAUUACACAGAUGAAACAGAAGCUCUUUCUGUGCUUGAAUGGGAAGAUGCAGGGAAGCAAGACCUAUUUCUUCACUCCUGCUUUAAUUCUUCUGCCAAAGAGAAUUUUCUUGCCUGUUGGCUGGAACUAUCUUCACUUGAGACACCUCUAGUGUUAAAAAAAUUAUUCUUGAAAUGCUCAGAUAAGUGUUAAUACAUUCAGCCUCGAAGAACCCUAAAGAAUGACUUUUUUUUGUAUGGAAAUGCAUACUUGAGCUAUCUCGUGCAAAAUGCACCAUGUUUACAUGGUAAGGGUCUCUGACCCACAGAGAUGUCAUGUCUGUGGUAACACUGACCAAGAGUGUGCAAGAACUGAGUUGCAACGCUUCUCAUUAAAAUAGAAAAACUUCAUUAAAACCAAAUUAAACUCAUGCAUCAGCACUUUCUAAACUGUCCUGUAAGCAUUUAUGAGCUUUUCUUUGACACAUUACUGUCCAGGAAAAAGUGUUCAUUUCUUAUACACUUAAUAUUUAGCAAAACCUCUUCUAGUUCCCCCUUCCUAAUAAUUAGUCACUUAGCAUCACUUUUAAGCAAAAAAAAAAAAAACCAACAAAACAAAACCCUACACUACAUAGAUGGUAUUUUCCAGUCUGAACUCAAGUCAGCAAGACAUCCUCUCUUCUGUACGGUUUAAAGAUAGAAAUUAGUAUUCAUAGAAGUGUAGUUAGAUGACUUUGGAGUGGGGGCUUCCUGAAAGCCAUGUUCAAAAUGUCCAAACUGAGGUGCCAGGUAGCCAGUAACUGCAUUUAUGUUUGGUGCUACUUAGUUUCCUGGGUCUUGCUUAGAUCAGAAUUAGUCUGGUGGCACCACAGAAAUAUUCAGAGGCGCAACAUACAGUCUGGGGAGCUGAAGGGAAGGCCAGCUGCCCUGAGAGUGCUGCGGGGAAGCUAUUUGCAGCGGGCAGUGUGAAAGAGGGUGUUUGUCCCAUGAAGAUGAUGUCUGCGCUGAAUAGGUUAGCAGCAAUUUGGGUUCACUUCUUGGAGAGAUUAAUAGGAACGGGUAGCAUGGAAUGCCCUAGCAGGGGGGAGGUCAGUGAGCAACGCAUGGGAAAAGGGUGUGUAAAGUCCCCCUGCACUUGAGGGUUUGAACUAAUUGCAUAGAGGAAGGAAAGGGCUGAGGCAUCACCAGUGGCAUCUGCCCUUGGUAUUAAAAAGCGGAAAGGAGGUCCUAAGAGAAGGAGGCUGCCCAGAUAACAGGAUGAAUAAUAGGAAGAUCAGCUUUAUACCUUUAUAUAAACAGAGAUUAAGAAAUAAAUAAUAGACUCAGUUACAAAUGUUAUCUAUGUCUGGCUUCCUUGGGUAUGUGAAUGAGCAAAGUCUCAGUCUACUUUUUUCCUCAUGAGACUCUCCCUCAUUCAAAGUCUAGAUGUAGAUAGCACUCCUACUUUUGUUUGUUCAGGUUGUGGCUUUCAGUCAUUUUCACUGCUCCAAAUGCUUUGAAAGCCCAUGCCUUCCGGUCCCCUGUUCCUCCUCUCCUUCCACCUCCUCCUCUCCACUUCCUGUCAAGGAUAAACACAGAUAGGUGUUUGCUGUGCUACUGUGAAGGGCCUGAGGAAAUGAGUAACAUGCAAUCAGAUUGAGGGGGCUUCCUACUUUUGUCUUCUCUUUCUCAAUGGAGCAUGAACAACCAUGGAGCAAGUUAGAAUUGUUAUUAUGAUGCACAAAUGGUAUUUCUUGCUCACCAAACACAGCCCAAUGUGCCCUAUCCUUUCCUUCAAGUUCUUGUUUGUUCCUUAACCAAGGCAACCACUCCUAAAAUAACAGCUAGCUGACUUCAUGGGCUAUCUGAGUGCUGAUAGGCGUGGAAAAAAGAAAAAAAUAGUAUGUGAGUUUAAAAAGUAAGUUUUUCAAAUGAAUUAGUAAAGUAUCUAUUCAGAUAGAGGCAAAAUGAAUUCCUACAAUCUUUCAGAAAUAUUUUUAUACUUAAUGACCUAAAGUCUGACUGGAGGAAAAAAAAACCAAAAACUUUUUCAUCAGAAAACAUUUUUUUCUUCUUUCAACUUUCUGGGAGAAAUCUUCCUUCUAUGAAAAAAAAGUCAAAAUAUCACUUACGAUGAUCACAUUAAAUGUUGUAGGUAGAUGCCUCUGACCUAAGCAUCCCUUCUCCUAUGGAUUACUUCAGAGCAUGACAUUUUCAAGACAGGGCUGCAUAUGCCUUUUGUGUUUGUUCGGACAAAAAUGCUACUUCCAUGCAGCAAUUACUGUGAGGUGACACACUGUCCCCGAUGCUAUGAUGAUUACAGGGCAUUGCUUUAUGCACAUCACGCCCUGAAUGCAGCCCUUUCAUCUGCCACACAUGCACCUUGGAAAUAAAUAUGCAUUUAUUUAGGGAAAAUGUAGGUGAAAUGGUAGAAAAAAAAAAAAGGGUUCUGGUGUUUGUUUGUUUGUUUGAAACUAUGAAUGUUAAAACCUCUCUUUGGCACUCAAAAGCUGUGUUGUUCUUGCUUGCCAUCCCGAAGACCUUCGCAAGUUCUGGAAAGUCUCAGAUGACACUAAUGAUGUUUAUUUCUCCUUACCCUAAUUAUUCCUCUCUGGGGAAGUUCAUAGGGCAGUGAAGACUCUGAGCAGGAUUUGUUUGUCUUGGAAGUCCAGACAUAGGGCCCAGUAAUCCCAUGACCUGUUCCCUGCUCUGAUACCCUUCCCACUGUGCUCAGCUCUGGUAGUCACUGUAGGUUUCAUGACCCUUGAGUAAACCUGAAGAAAGUCCAGAGUUGCACCAGUGCUGUGUGCUGGGUUGUGUAAUUGAGUGAGAGUUCUUGAGUCUUCCAGAGAGCUCUACUUGCCAUUAUCCACAGAGGUGCUGCUGGAGGUGGCCAUGCCAAGCCCGGGUGCCUUGGCUUCCUGGAGGGCAGCAGGUCUCAGCCAGCAGAGCCCAAAUCUUGCAUGUGGUCAUGGCAGCUUUUCUGCAUAUGCAAUUUGCUCUAAGGUAUCUGAUGGCUCCCAUAAUGGAAGAUUUGCUGCAGUAAUGACAUUCAAGCAGUGGUGGAGUAACCAGUAAGAAAUCAAGUCCUAAUUAAAAAACAGGAGCUUGUUAAAACACUGCCUGUGAUGAUAUACAAUUUUGCAACCAAUUUUUUCUGCAUUUAAGUUAGAGACUAACCCAUUAGAGGGCAUGUCUAUUUUGGAAUGACAAAAUAGAGAAAGAAAGAGCCAAAAAUUAAUGAUAAUCUAAUCAUGUGGCUGUUAAUCAGGAGCACAUAAACUGGCAAUACUGCCCUCCGUCUGGAGGAGUAGCUAGCAAGAUGUCUGUUUAUAAAAAAAGAAUUAUGAGAAUGUUAGGAAGAUUAAUUUUAGACAUCUUGUUAAAAUAUCCAGGCUUAAAUUUAUAAGCCUUCCUCUUUUGUAUUUGGGCAAAUUGCAGUUCUCUGAGGCCCUGUCAUAAAGUGUAUUUAUUUUUCUGUUCUUCAGAAGAAAAGUGAUAGUUAAAUGCCAAAAGUAUAUUUUCUGCUUAUGGAAAGUUGUACUUCAUUGCAGUGGCUGUCCUCUGAGUAACGCAUUUUAUGAGAAUCAGAGUAGUAACUUCAGGGUGGGAUAUUUCAUGCUGCAGUCUUUCUCGGCUCUCCUGCUGAUCUGAAAUGCCCACUACAAACCAAAGGCUUGGCCCCUCUUUCCUGUGCUUGCACUGAUCUGCUUGGUGUACCUUGAGUAAAUAUUCUUCUCUUCAUCUCCUUUCUUCCUUGUUUUUCACCUUCUUCACCUUUAUUUCUGUAAUUUGUAAAAAAAAAAAAAAAGAAGGACUUGUGUUAAGUGAUCUUUUGACUUUGUGGAUGUUGCUCUGAUGGCUAUGGCAGGAGCUCUGUCUAUGGCUAAGGAAGGCGAGAAGUCAUAGCUCAAGUUUUGGUAUGGUUUUCCUUUACUCUUUACACUGAUACUUGUGUGUUUCUCAUGGUUCUCUUUCAGUGACUGCUCUAACAGUAAAUCAGGCCUGGGAAUGUAACCUUCCUGCCCACACGUAUUAUAAAGGAAUUGUCCUUUUCCAUGAUGGAAAGGGGUUAAUAGCAGUUGCAAUGGCCUGUGUGGUAUGUCUGCUCCACUUGCUUCCGCUACCGUGGAGCUCGUUGUUUGGACGAACACAAUACCAUAAAAAUACUCUUUUAUCAUUAAUUUUCUUCCUUUUGGUUUAUCCACCAGAAGUUUGUCUCAGGAAAAGUUUAUGCUGAAAUAUGUUGGGGACAAACUGUAACUGAACUGUUUUUCUGCGUGACAGAAGAGAAAGCUGGGAUCCAGUUUCUCACCACCACUAACCUCUGUACUCACUUUUAUCUGCUACGAAAACUGUUAUGUCAGACACAUCCUCCUUUUCCCUGUUUGUCUGAAAAUCUGUGAUCGUGCUACAGAAAACAGCGGAACUGAAGCCUGAGGGCUAGACUGAAGCUUUGCAGUCAUACACAUCUUUGGUUUCCCUUUACUGCUACCUUCAUGCUCAGUGGGAAGAAGGUGACUCUGCUUUAUAUCACAGAGGGGAUUCCUCCACUUUUCAUCCUGGCUCCUUCCUCUCAUCCAUUGUACUCACUGCUGCCUCUGAACACCUGGGCACCACACCACAGCGCAGUUUCACUCCUCUGUGUCUGAGAGGCUGAAACAGAUGCUUUGUGCAAUGGCUUAUGGUAACUGUACUCUCAGUUUUUAUUCACUGUUGUAGGAGGAUGUCCACAAAUUAAUGUGAAUUGAGGAUCUUCAGUCCUGGAUCUAGGCUCAAAGGAUCAAACUCAGAGCCAGCAUAUUGAUCAGGAGAAAGAAGAUGAGUAAAAGUGAGCACAUUUUGAAGCCCUGUAUUUGUCAGAGAUGGAUCUGAAUGAGAGCAGGGAAUACCCUGGACAGAACUGUACUCAGUUUUCCCUUCUAAGAAAACCAAAAGCUUACAGCUCUGAAGUCUUUCCAAGAGAGAAGAGAAACCAAACUGGAAGAUGAAAGCAUUGCACAGGCACCAAAUGCUGUUUCUGUUCAACCUUUGUUUCAUCGAGAAAAGUGGGUGUCUAAAAUCAAAGCACACAUUACUUCCCGUCACAUACUUACAGUGUGAGACCAGUGUUUUAGUAGAGUCUGCUGCCAGACUACAGAGAAAAGGAAGCUUGUGGAUCACUGGGUUUUUCAGCCUCUGAGCAUGAUAACCAACCAUUUUAGGCAACUGUGACGUUGCCAGCUGGGGUGCUGACAGUGUUACUGUAACCACAGUCUUCAUUAGUUGAGUGUUCCUCUUGCUCUCCUACUGUGACAGAGGCUUCAUGAAUUUCUUCAGAAAACAGAGGAUCUACUAAAGUUACCACUUCUUCCAGAAAACCGCGGCAGUCAGUAACUAAGUCAUGAACAAAGAAAACUAAAAGCUAUUUUUAAAUUUUAUCUCAUGUUAUUAAGUGUAAAGGAAAUGAUAUUUCCGUAAGGUUUUAGGCCUUUCUGCAGAAUUUGUGAAAAUGCAGAAAAAUGGUGCUAGAUCCCCAAUAUGAAGAUUAAGUGGGAGAUUUCCUAGUAAUAAACAGCUUUAAAAAGGAAGAGAGUGAUUUAGCAGGUGUAACCUCUGCUUCACCAUCCUUCCUGUAAUCCAGAAAUGCCAAAAAGUAGGUGCGUUGAGUUUCUCAGUGCACGCUGAAAGUCAACAAGCCUAGCAUUUUUAAAUGAUUUUUUAUAUAUAUUUUUAAACCAAUUUCAAGACUGAAAUUGUUCUAGUACAGGUUAGAAGAAAGAAAACAAAUGUGAUCUGUUAAGCCUCUGAGCAGUGGUUUUAUGAUUAUCCUAAGCUCUGAGGAACAGCUAACUGUAAGACUUACUCACAGGCAGGUGUCAGAUGAAGUAGCUCCACAGAUUCUGGCUAUGCUGUAGUGAAUGGUGCUGAGACCUGAUGAAACAUGUCACAGUUCCAUCCUUCCGUCAUUAGAUACGUUAGUUCAUCUGGCUGCUUGCAGAAAUGUUAUGCAUGCAGUAGAUGUGCUUUCCUGUGGAUACUACGCCAACUGGGAGAGGCAGUAGUCCACAGAAGAUAUUAUAAGCCACAAUUUCAGAUAGAAAGAAGUAAAGGAUGGUUAUUAAUAAGAAGCUCUUAUCUGCAAAGAAAAUCUGGGUUACCUGUGAGUAAAAGCCACUUGGAUGUAAACCUACUUGCCACAUCACUAACUUAAGGCAGAAAUGUUACUCUGGCACAAAACUGGCACACAAUGAUCACUCCCAGGUGAGGCUGAUGACAUUUCAUGCCCAACAUAUUUUGUGCUCCGAAUUUUAGGUUACCAAGUAAAUCUCCUCUCAAUAGGAAGACUAAAAUCAAUCACACAAAACAUGUAUAAUUAACUAUGCAAGUUUGUUAUAAUAUGAAGACCUUUGUUUCACAGACCAAGAUUCAUAAUAUUUAGAAGCUAAGUCUCUUAAUAGUGUUUCCAGUAUUGAUUUUUUUCCCCAUUUAUUUAAUUCUACUACAAUAACUAUACAAUCAUAGAUUCGGAGAAUAUCUUGAGCUGGAAGGAACCCAGAAGGAUCACUGAGUCCAACUCCUGACUCCACGUGUGACCAUCCAAAAUCCAAACCCAGUGUCUGAGAAUGAUGUCCAGAAUGGUGGCACCUCAGAGCCAUUCCCACUGGGCAGCCUGUUCCAGGGCCCCACCACCCUCUGGUGAAGAACUUGUCCCUAACUCCCACCUGACCUUCUCCCGACACAGCUCCAUGCCAUUAUAGCAUGGAGAUUCCUGGAGAUGUGCAUACUUAUGGGAAGGGGAAUAAGAAUUUGAAAUUAGGGUUCAGGCUAGGUAGUGAGUUGCUGUUAUUAGGAAUGUAAAAAGGGCAUGGGAAGAUCACCUAUGUGAAACUGAAAAGAUAUGUAUGAUGACAUGCCGCUACCAACUGACCCUUGCAGUUGGAAAUAUUCAGCCUGAGGGCUUGGUUCACCUGGUUCCUAAGCAUUUUCUUUUUCUUUAGGCUUUUUUUUUUUUUUUUUUCACUGAAAAUGGUAGUUCUUCACCUUGCAAAUCACUGUCUGUACAGAGGGGCAUGACACUGGUUCCAUAUCAGUCUCUGUAGCCAGCUCUUCUUUCCUCUAGGCUCUCGUGGUCCUCCUUGGGAACCCUUUCUGUAUACCCAUUCAGAUCUGUCUCUCCUGCUUUCCAAGACCACCUCCUGACUCAUCCCUGGCACCAUCUGAGCACUUCUUCCUAUCUCUGGUUCCUGUUAUCUCUGGGAUGGCAUUUUUGAUCUGAAAUGUGCUACGGAGAUCACAGAAUGGGGAACCCGCUGCAAGGAGCAGGAUGGAGAGCAGGCUGGGCAUGGAAAUGAAUACUUGCCUCUCCCCUCAACCUUCUUGUGCACAUGGGCUGGUGGUGUGGGCUGGUUCCAAGGCUCAGCUCUAGGUCUGUGUUCCCUGUUCCUUACAAGGAUGUGGGAUAGAGGGAGACCCAGGGAACAUGUCUGGAAGGUGGGAAGGUCCUAGCUGGCAGCAGUGUCGUGGUGUGGAGCUUGGUUCUGUAUCUCAAAACAUCACACAUUGCCAUCAGUCUGUGCAACUCCUCUUCUUCUGGAGGACGCUGCCUUAGUGGUGCCUGCAGUGCAGUCUCAGUGGACCCUAAGGGGAGUGACUCAGGAGAACCAAGGAACAAACACUCUGUACACCAGAUUUCUUUGGGUUUUGGGCGGACUCCUACCAUUUAUAGAAUCAUAGAAUCGUAGAAUGGCCUGGGUUGAAAGGUUGAAAAGGACCACAGUUAUCAUCUAGUUUCAACCUCCUGCACACUAUUUUAGGGGGGAAACAGCGGGAAACCAACUGAUGCAAGAUGAUGCCUUUUUCACAGAAUUGCAAACUUCAGUUUUCACAUAACUAUAGCUGUAACUCUUCUUUCUGCUCUCGCCUCGCUGCCUGCUCACCUUACAAUGCAAAAUGGGCCUUGGGAUAUUUGUGGUGAUGUGGGUGAAAAUAUUGCAAAAACAGAUAAUUAGAGAAGUGGGGCUUGGCAAGCUGUUGUUUGACCUGAUAAUAUGGCAAAGUGUAUGGUUUACCAAGAGCAGUCCCAUCUGAACAGACUUUAGGGAGGACAAGGAGCUGACAGAUGAGUAAGUAAGCCUCACAUGAUCACCUUUAUUUUUGCUUUCAUACGCAAGCAAGAUUCAGAGGUGGAGGGUAUAAACAAAAAAAGUGAAACUAGGAGAGUUUAUGUGUUUACGGCCUAAGAGCCCACUCCUUCCAUCAAGGCUUGUAAGAGGCUUCUGUGCUGUGCAGGUUACUUUGGGAGGCAGGAACUGGAUACCACAGCUGCAUCUGCCUCUCAUACAAAAAGAAUGAAAAGCCUCUGAAUCAUGAUGCAGCAUAGUAAUGUGCAUUAACAGACCUUCAGCUCCACAGACUUCACACUCUUCCUUCCCUGUGGGUGUGUGGGUCUAACUGACAGCUGUCCAGCUUUGUAUUCUUUGGGCUUCUUGUUUGACUGUACCCAUGUAACGUAUUCAGUAUAAAAAUAGCAAAAGAGAAUCAAGAAGUAGCAAAUCACCUGGUAAAAGCUGGAGGUCAUCAGACCAUGUCUUACAGAGGGUGCACAGGUGUUGUACAUCCCCCACAAAGCAAGUCACAGCUAUUUGUUUUCUGCAGUGUGCAAAGGCCAUCCACUGGGCCUUAACACAACUGCUGUUAGGUGUGAUGCCUCAUGUGUAACAUCACUGAGAGGGGCACUGGGUGAUUGGGAUGAACAUGCAAGUUUCUUUUUUGAAAAUACUGAAUCAUAGAAUCAUUAAGGUUGGAAAAGACCACUGAGAUCAUCUUGUCCAACUGUCAACCCAUUACCACUGUGCCCACUAGCCGAGCUACACAGACCUUCUAUCCACUGAGCAGUUUAACUGCACUGGGAGAAAUAUCAAUUCUUCUAUUUCUUUCAAAAGAGAAUGAAAACUGUAGCUGCACUUGACCUGAUUGGAUUAUUUGUACCUAAAGUAGCAGAUGUUGCACCUUAAAUGGCAGUUUCAGUCAGCACCUUUUGUUUCCUUCCCUCAAAAGACGUAGACUUUCAGUGGUUUUGAUUUAAAAAAAAAAAAAAGAAAAAGAAAAAGUAAGCUCCAGUGCUUUGCUUUUCUAUACUGGCACAUCUGAUGGUGAGGUGGCAGGGUGUUUCCUGUUGAUCUACAAAAAUCUCAUCUUCCAAACCAAACCUUGAUCUCUGGGGACCUCUUCUUAAGCCAUGGUUUGGCCUUGAUCUGAGAGUGGAACACAGCAUUUCAGAUUUCUCUAGCGUUGCACCUGGUGGCUGUGCAGUACAUCUCACAGCUGUGCUUGGCCUCCUUUACUCUCAGUCACAUGAGCAUAAUUCUGGAGCAGAGUGCAUGAUGGGUGGAAGACAAGUGUGCCACGAGCAUAACAAAUGAUCUACGUUAUCAGCAUAGCAGGGUUAAUGUGUAUCUGAUAAAAACUUUGGUGUCAAUUGGAACUAUGGCAGCGUAAGAGAUGAAGAAGCUUGACUUCCUUCCAUUAACUGCAAAGCAUCUGGUGCGUUAUAUGCACACUGAGAACUGAUCCUCUCUUCCUUUUCAAUUGUGGUCUGAAUUUUUAACCAUGUUGAAGACUCUCUGUUUGCUUCUGCAAACCUCUUGGUGCAGACAUUGCUAAAUGUAAUUUUUCAGAGUAUUGAGCUGCAGGAAUAGAUGCAUGAUAUCCAAACUAUAAUGAAAUGACUGCUGCAAAAGAAGGGCAUGAGCAUUCUCCUCUAAAUUCAAAUGACACUUUGGUCCUCACCUCCUUUUUAUCUUCUUUCCCACAAACCUGAGCUUGAAGCGUAAGUGUUCAAGGCCAGAUAGGAUGGAGCCCUGGGCAGCCUGGUCUGGCAUUAAAUGAGGAGGUUGGUGGCCCUGCAU